CAGAGUAGCGGUGCCCUCUGGGCGCCUACUCCCACCCUUUGUGAACUUACUUUGUUGCUUUGGCGGGCCGGGUGCCCCCAGGCGCCGCCGGCUUCGGCUGGAGAGCGCCCGCCAGAGAACCAUUCAAACCCUGCUCACGGUGACAUCUGAGUACAAUACAAAUGAAUCA
rnacentral:misc_RNA from 1 species